rnacentral:misc_RNA from 1 species
CGACGGCGAACCGGCGGGUACAUCUCCGGCUGAAGAAGUAAUGACUACUUUUUCUCGCCACCAUUUCGGGACUUCCGAAGACACCGCCGAUGGCUUCUCCGUCACCAUUAUCGAGAACAUGAAAGAAGAGUACGGUUUGUUCGUAUGGCCUUGCAGUAUUAUUCUAGCUGAGUACGUAUGGCAACAAAAGUCGCGCUUUACUGGCGCAUCUGUGGUUGAGCUUGGGGCAGGGACCUCGUUGCCUGGGCUGGUUGCUGCAAAAGUGGGUGCAGAUGUGACGCUGACUGACGAUUCUAACAGAUCAGAGG